rnacentral:lncRNA from 1 species
AGGCCUGGCGUGACAAUCGGUCUGCGCGGGCGCAGUGGCGGCAGCCGCUGCACCCGCGUGGCUAGAAGCCCACGGUCUGCAGGCGAGUUGAGGUUUCAGGUCAUUCCAGCUCCGGCCGUGGGGCCCCGCUCAGACGCGCGCCUGUCUCCUGGUGAAAUCCUGGAGGCUGUCCUUUCCACCGUCCUGUCUGCACGAGGAGGACACAGGGGUCAGCUUCCUGGGAGAAGGGAGUCGUCCGGAUGGCUGGUCCCCGGAGGGGUGACUUACUGCAUGAACAUCGAAAUCAGAUGAACCCUGACGGCGACAGCGAUGGUAAUAGCGCCACUGGCGGGGUGUAUGGGGGGGUAGCGGGCAAAGCCCGUGGGGCAAAUGUCUUUCUUAAACCCUCCUCAUAAAUCUAAGAUCUCACUGUCACCCACGAGGGGACGGAGCCCGGGGCCUCGGGACCUGAGCUGGUUCUCUGGGUGAGAGGAGGAGGAGGCUUCCUGGGGGGCCGUGUGCCUUUGGCCCGCGUCCUUCACGGUGGCUCUGUCCUCUGGGGGCAGCUGAUCGAACGGGCCUUUCUGUGUGGACAUCACUUGUUCCCAGUGGAGCCCUGGGGGCUAAAAAUAACCAUGUGUUUUCUGUUUUAUCCAAAAAAGAGGAACUGUGCAGUGUGUUUCAUAACAUCUACUAUUUUUGAAAACCUGAAUUUUUUCCACUUUUUUUUAAAUGCCUUUGGGGCUGUCCUUGGAGGGAGAGGCUUUGGUGGAGGUUUCACCAGGGGUCCCUCUGUUUGGUCGUCCAGAUCCUCAGGAAAUGGCUGCAGGAGAAGGGAACUGUCCCCCCGCACACAUGGCCAAGGGGUGGACUUAACACAGGGGUCAUGGGAGGGGAGCCAGAUCUCAGGGGCACCUGAGACCUCAUAGCACAGGCUGGAGGGGAGAAGGGACCGGCCCAGGGGCUGGGCAGGCCUGUUCCGUGUACAGGGGGAGGCGUGCUGACCCCGGCCACAUGCUGCCUCCACGACAGCCAGGCCUCGUGGUCCAGGCUCAGCGUCCAUCUUUCCCCUGACCCCGCUCUCCCAGGUUGGGGCAAGGCCUGAUGCUCCUAAGAUGAGCCACGAGCCAUGAGCCCCCGGGUCCCGGUUGUUCUUGGGUUCCUCUGUUGUUGGCAACCAGGCUAAGAUGGUCAUCCUGGGGUCUGCUGAUGCUAGGGUGGCUCCCUGCCCUUCUCACUGAGACUCUGGAGCGUUAGGAAAUCAUGGAAAGAGCAAACACAGUGAAAGACACGUCGCCCGCAGCCCAGGAAGCUGGAAUGUGGGUGUGGCAUCCCUGAGACCACGCGGGUGUUUCUGGGUGAGCCAAGGGCAGAGGGACCAGGCGGGUGUGGGAGUGGCUGGACGCCAAGAGGACCUGCCCACUGCUGCAACCCAAGGGCAGAGUGGGCCCUUCACACGUGACGUGGCUGCCAGCAUCUGCAGAGGUGAGCAGAGGCAUGGGGCGGAGCAGGAGGUGUUAGAAUGUGUGGCAAGAGCACGAUUCCUCUAGAGUCGGCAGUAAUUUGGAGACUGGAACAGGGACAGACUGACACCUGAUCUCAGUAGACAAGCCAGGAGCAGACCCUUACGGGAAGGCCGAGGCUGUGGCACCAAGCUUAUAGAAACCGUGAGGGAGGGCAGCUGUGCCUGGAGAGCAGAUUAAUUCUGGGCUGCAGGACUCUGGAUAAGUUAAAGAAAAAGUGCAUCUGCAUCUUUCUAAACCAACUGUGGGGAGUUCCCAUUGUGGCACAGUCAAGACAAAUCCGACUAGGAACCAUGAGGUUGCGGGUUCGAUCCUUGGCCUCGCUCUGUGGGUUAAGGAUCUGACAUUGCCGUGAGCUGUGGUGUAGGUUGCAGACACGGCUCGGAUCCUGCGUGGCUGUGGCUGUGGCGAAGGCUGGCGGCUACAGCUUGGAUUGGACCGCUAGCCUGUGAACCUCCAUGUGCCGUGGGUGCUGGCCUAAAAAGACAAAAGACAAAAAAAAAAAAAAAA